rnacentral:misc_RNA from 1 species
AGAGAAAGACGACUAAAGGUAAAAUGUAGAGGAAAGGAAUAGUUUAUUCUCAUAGCUGUUAAUUAAAAAAGAUACCAAUAAAAAAAGUAGAGUCUCAUAGCUCAGCUGGUUAGAGCGCUACACUGAUAAUGUAGAGGUCGGCAGUUCGAGUCUGCCUGAGACUACUUAUUUUUAUAUACUGGAAAAUCUAGAAGUUGGGUUUGUUUCGAGUCAACACUCAAAACUCAAAACUAAAAACUCAUAACUGGAAGACAUGGGGGAUUAGCUCAGCUGGCUAGAGCGCCUGCCUUGCACGCAGGAGGUCAUCGGUUCGACUCCGAUAUUCUCCACAACCAGGUUAAGAUUUUGGGUUAAACAGUUAAGGGGUGAUAUUCGCUCCUAACUCACCACUCACCACUCAUAACUUGAAAACGAUCAUUGACAUAUUGAAAAAGAUACAUGAAAAAAUUAGAUAUUAAUAUUUAAUUUAGAAAAAGUAAAAUAAAAAUUGUUGCGAGCUAGCAAUAAUAAAAGAGUAAACUCAUUAAAAAGACAAAAGUGU